rnacentral:rRNA from 1 species
UGGGGAAUCUUGCACAAUGGGCGAAAGCCUGAUGCAGCAACGCCGCGUGCGGGAAGAAGGCCCUAGGGUUGUAAACCGCUUUCAGCAGGGAAGAAACUGACGGUACCUGCAGAAGAAGGCGCGGCCAACUACGUGCCAGCAGCCGCGGUGACACGUAGGCACCAAGCGUUGUCCGGAUUUAUUGGGCGUAAAGAGCUCGUAGGCGGUUCGGUAAGUCGGGUGUGAAAACUCUGGGCUCAACCCAGGGCCGCCACCCGAUACUGCUGUGACUCGAGUGCGGUAGGGGAGCGGGGAAUUCCUGGUGUAGCGGUGAAAUGCGCAGAUAUCAGGAGGAAUACCAGUGGCGAAGGCGCCGCUCUGGGCCGUGACUGACGCUGAGGAGCGAAAGCGUGGGUAGCAAACAGG